UAGUCUUGGUUUUGAAAAUGAUUGAGUAUUUUUGAAGUUAUGUGGAAAUGAAUUUUUGUGUUCAUUAUUGUUCUUGUUCGAUUCAUGCUGGAUAAGUUGUUUUAGUGCAAAUGGAUGAUGGAUUCGUGUUGUGUGAUGUUUGCUGAGUCCAAUGGUGCAGUCAAUUUGUAUUUCUGGGCAAAAAUGUUUUUCACGAUUUCUUGAGAUUGAAGAUGAUGAUACUGUUGCUAAAACCCUAAUUUCAUAACUUUGCCCAGAAU
rnacentral:lncRNA from 1 species